rnacentral:rRNA from 1 species
AACGAACGCUGGCGGCAUGCCUAACACAUGCAAGUCGAACGAGACCUUCGGGUCUAGUGGCGCACGGGUGCGUAACGCGUGGGAAUCUGCCCUUGGGUGCGGAAUAACUUUCCGAAAGGAAUGCUAAUGCCGCAUAAUGUCGCAAGACCAAAGAUUUAUCGCCCAAGGAUGAGCCCGCGUAAGAUUAGCUAGUUGGUGGGGUAAAGGCCUACCAAGGCGACGAUCUUUAGCUGGUCUGAGAGGAUGAUCAGCCACACUGGGACUGAGACACGGCCCAGACUCCUACGGGAGGCAGCAGUGGGGAAUAUUGGACAAUGGGCGAAAGCCUGAUCCAGCAAUGCCGCGUGAGUGAUGAAGGCCCUAGGGUUGUAAAGCUCUUUUACCCGGGAUGAUAAUGACAGUACCGGGAGAAUAAGCUCCGGCUAACUUCGUGCCAGCAGCCGCGGUAAUGUACAGUGU